GACUGUCCUCUCCUCUCACAGACCCUCACCACACACACACACACACAACGAGACCCAGGAAAGACCGGGCCUGGAUGGAAUAUAGACUGUCCUCUCACAGAGCGGCACACAGCAGAAACCCAGAAGCAUCUUCUUCGUUGCCCGUUAUCAACGUACAGUAGGAAGUCACAGAGCAGCAACAACAGAGUGUUCAUUUACCUGUACGGGAAAAGGCCCGGCUCACUUAUUCCAUGCUUCUCUACCACUCUCAACACAUAAGAGAUAAUGGAUGGAUUUGAUUCAAUGUUUUUAUUUUUCACCGAAUGUUUUUUUUUUUUUUUAAAGCAAAUUUUAAAAAACCAGAAGCAGUUCAUUGAGUAUUAUUAUUAUUAUUUUGGUUGUAAUUUUCAUCGCUUCAUUUCUUUCAAGGUUUUUUUUUUUAGCAUGGAGGUGUGUUUAUUUAGUCUUUGGGAAAAUGUGUAUAAGAGUAUUCAUUCACCCCAAGUGAAGAAGAAAAUAUAAAAAAUGAUGUUGUACAAUUGUGUAUAAUGUUUCAGUAGGAAAAUGUUUUACAUAAAUAUCCAUAUUUAUUUUUGUUUUCAUUUUUUUAAAUUGCCAAUGCUGGGUUUCCUAAAGCAGGAACAAACACAAAAAAAACCUCAAUAAAAUGCUUCAGAACGGACUUGUUAAAGUUUAUUCUGUGAUCAAUAGUGGGGGUCUUGGAAGUGGUCGGUUUAUGAAAUGAAACCAACGUGAAAUCAGAAUAAUACAAUUAUAAUACAAAACAUUAUGGAGAAACACUUUGUUUCGCAGAAAACAAAUCAUCAUCACAUUUAUUUUUAUUAUAGUAUAAAAAUGUCACAAAAAGGCCACAUUUUAGGGAGGUAAAGUAAAUCAACCUUGGAACAUUGUCCAAAAAAUAUUUACACAACAAAACAAAAAAAACCUCCUUCCCAUCGUUUGAGUCAGAAGACAUUGUUCAACAAUGUGUAUGUUUGUUCACACAUGAGCCAGUUUAGAUUCAGAUAUUGUUGUUUACACAUGAGCCAGUUUAGAUUCAGAUAUUGUUGUUUACACAUGAGCCAGUUUAGAUUCAGAUAUUGUUGUUCACACAUGAGCCAGUUUAGAUUCAGAUAUUGUUGUUCACACAUGAGCCAGUUUAGAAUCAGAUAUUGUUGUUUACGUCACAUGAGCCAGUUUAGAAUCAGAUAUUGUUGUUCACACAUGAGCCAGUUUAGAAUCAGAUAUUGUUGUUUACACAUGAGCCAGUUUAGAAUCAGAUAUUGUUGUUUACACAUGAGCCAGUUUAGAUUCAGAUAUUGUUGUUCACACAUGAGCCAGUUUAGAUUCAGAUAUUGUUGUUCACACAUGAGCCAGUUUAGAUUCAGAUAUUGUUGUUUACACAUGAGCCAGUUUAGAUUCAGAUAUUGUUGUUCACACAUGAGCCAGUUUAGAUUCAGAUAUUGUUGUUCACACAUGAGCCAGUUUAGAUUCAGAUAUUGUUGUUCACACAUGAGCCAGUUUAGAUUCAGAUAUUGUUGUUUACACAUGAGCCAGUUUAGAAUCAGAUAUUGUUGUUUUCACAUGGUAUCUAGUAUCUGGUGUCAGAUAUUGUUGUUUACACAUGAGCCAGUUUAGAAUCAGAUAUUGUUGUUUACAUCACAUGUUAUCUAGUAUCUGGUGUCAGAUAUUGUUGUUUACAUCACAUGGUAUCUAGUAUUGUUAAUCAGAUAUUGUUGUUUACACAUGAGCCAGUUUAGAAUCAGAUAUUGUUGUUUACACAUGAGCCAGUUUAGAUUCAGAUAUUGUUGUUCACACAUGAGCCAGUUUAGAAUCAGAUAUUGUUGUUCACACAUGAGCCAGUUUAGAAUCAGAUAUUGUUGUUUACGUCACAUGGUAUCUAGUAUCUGGUGUCAGAUAUUGUUGUUUACACAUGAGCCAGUUUAGAAUCAGAUAUUGUUGUUUACAUCACAUGUUAUCUAGUAUCUGGUGUCAGAUAUUGUUGUUUACAUCACAUGGUAUCUGGUGUCAGAUAUUGUUGUUUACAUCACAUGGUAUCUAGUAUCUGGUGUCAGAUAUUGUUGUUUACACAUGAGCCAGUUUAGAAUCAGAUAUUGUUGUUCACACAUGAGCCAGUUUAGAAUCAGAUAUUGUUGUUUACUUCACAUGGUAUCUAGUAUUUGGUGUCAGAUAUUGUUGUUCACACAUGAGCCAGUUUAGAAUCAGAUAUUGUUGUUCACACAUGAGCCAGUUUAGAAUCAGAUAUUGUUGUUUACGUCACAUGGUAUCUAGUAUCUGGUGUCAGAUAUUGUUGUUUACACAUGAGCCAGUUUAGAAUCAGAUAUUGUUGUUUACAUCACAUGUUAUCUAGUAUCUGGUGUCAGAUAUUGUUGUUUACAUCACAUGGUAUCUGGUGUCAGAUAUUGUUGUUUACAUCACAUGGUAUCUAGUAUCUGGUGUCAGAUAUCUGGUGUCAGAUAUUGUUGUUUACACAUGAGCCAGUUUAGAAUCAUUGUUGUUUACUUCACAUGGUAUCUAGUAUCAGAUAUUGUUGUUCACACAUGAGCCAGUUUAGAAUCAGAUAUUGUUCACACAUGAGCCAGUUUAGAAUCAGAUAUUGUUGUUUACGUCACAUGGUAUCUAGUAUCUGGUGUCAGAUAUUGUUGUUUACACAUGAGCCAGUUUAGAAUCAGAUAUUGUUGUUUACAUCACAUGUUAUCUAGUAUCUGUUGUCAGAUAUUGUUGUUUACAUCACAUGGUAUCUGGUGUCAGAUAUUGUUGUUUACAUCACAUGGUAUAUAGUAUCUGGUGUCAGAUAUUGUUGUUUACAUCACAUGGUAUCUAGUAUCUGGUGUCAGAUAUUGUUGUUUACAUCACAUGGUACCUAGUAUCUGGUGUCAGAUAUUGUUGUUUCAACACAUGGUAUUUAGUAUCUGGUGUCAGAUAUUGUUUACAUCACAUGGUAUCUAGUAUCUGGUGUCAGAUAUUGUUGUUUACAUCACAUGGUAUCUAGUAUCUGGUGUCAGAUAUUGUUGUUUACAUCACAUGGUAUCUAGUAUCUGGUGUCAGAUAUUGUUGUUUACAUCACAUGGUAUCUAGUAUCUGGUGUCAGAUAUUGUUUACAUCACAUGGUAUCUAGUAUCUGGUGUCAGAUAUUGUUGUUUACAUCACAUGGUAUCUAGUAUCUGGUGUCAGAUAUUGUUGUUUACAUCACAUGGUAUCUAGUAUCUCAGAUAUUGUUGUUUACAUCACAUGGUAUCUGGUGUCAGAUAUGGUUGUUUACAUCACAUGGUAUCUAGUAUCUGGUGUCAGAUAUUGUUGUUUACAUCACAUGGUAUCUAGUAUCUGGUGUCCGAUGUUGUUGUUUACAUCACAUGGUAUCUAGUAUCUGGUGUGAAAUCAGAUAUUGUUGUUUACAUCACAUGGUAUCUAGUAUCUGGUGUCAGAUAUUGUUGUUUACAUCACAUGGUAUCUGGGGUCAGAUAGUGUUGUUUACAUCACAUGGUAUCUGGUGUCAGAUAUUGUUGUUUACAUCACAUGGUAUCUGGUGUCAGAUAUGAUUCCCACAUUGACUGCAUCCCAAAUGGCCCCAUUGGGGACCCAGCCAUUAUCUGGUGUGUAGAAGGAUUGUCAGAGAUAAUGGUUAACUGGAUAGAACAGGAAAUGGCUGGUAGGAGGGACUGGGGAUGGUAUAUUGUCCCUCACUCUGUAGCUUAGGCUCACUAUGGAAGACUGUCUCUCUCUCUAUCUCUCUCUCUCUCUCUUUCUCUGUCUCUCUUUCUCUCUCUCGGUCUCUCUUUCUCUCUCUGUCUCUCUUUCUCUCUCUCCCUCCUCUCUCUCUCUCUCUCUCUCUCUCUCUCUCUGUCUCUCUCUCUCUCUCUCUCUCUCUCUCUUCCUCUGUCUGUGUCUCUCUCUUUCUCUGUGUCUCUCUCUCUUUCGCUCUCUCUCUCUCUCUCUCUCUCUCUCUCUCUCUCUCUCUCUCUGUGUCUCUCUCUCUCUGUCUCUCUCUCUCUUUCUCUCUCUCUGUCUCUCUUUCUCUCUCUGUCUCUGUCUCUGUCUUUGUCUCUGUCUCUCUCUCUGCCUCUGUCUCUCUCUGUCUCUCUCUCUGUCUUCAUAGUCUCCCUGUCUCGCUCUCUGUUGUUAUAGUCUGUCUGUCUCUCCUGCCAUCUCACUCUUUCUCCAUCUCUCUCAGUUCACCACAUUACAGCCCAAGUGAAAUGCUUGACAGGCACUGUCUGUCUGUCUGUCUGUCUGCCGGUGACCAGAUAAAUCUUCUCUUGGUGUAGUUCAAGGUCUCCACAGUGUCCCUUGGCGUGUCACAGGAGGAGCAUGGAGUCGUGUCAGGGCCAAGCUGAUAGGUGGAAUGGCUGACGUCAGGUUGUCUCGUUGUUGUUGUUGUUGUCGUUGAUCCUAUCUAUGGUCCAAUGUGGACAUGGUGUCAACAUGAGGUCGCGCUAUUGUGUCAACUAACAAAAACAAGUGGACUGAAUGAAGGAAGAGUCCAACUGUCAGAGCUGAGUGAGUGGUUAGUUACCUUUCACAUGGGAUACUCCUCUACCAGGAUGGAUAUCAGGGGGCCAUUUGGGAUCUAAUCACAUUCUGUCAGCUGUCGGAAUAACUAGAGCCCAUAUCCCAGUAUUCCUGUUAUUGUUCCUGUUAUUAUUCCUGCUUUUAAGACCCUUCUUGUUCCCAGAUGGGAAACCAGGCUAUCCAGUCCAAUCAUUUAUCCAUCUGAUCACCCUCAACUUCCUCAGGCCAGAUAAGUUCAACUUCCUCAGGCCAGAUAAGUCCAACUUCCUCAGGCCAGAUAAGUCCAACUUCCUCAGGCCAGAUAAGUCCAACUUCCACAGGCCAGAUAAGUCCAAUUCAACUUCCUCAGGCCAGAUAAGUCCAACUUCCUCAUGCCAGAUAAGUCCAACUUCCUCAGGUCAGAUAAGUCCAACUCAACUUCCUCAGGCAAGAUAAGUCCAACUUCCUCAGUCCAGAUAAGUCCAACUUCCUCAGGCCAGAUAAGUCCAACUUCCUCAGUCCAGAUAAGUCCAAAUUCCUCAGGCCAGAUAAUUCCAACUCAACUUCCUCAGGCCAGAUAAGUCCAAAUUCCUCAGGCCAGAUAAUUCCAACUCAACUUCCUCAGUCCCGAUAAGUCCAAAUUCCUCAGGCCAGAUAAUUCCAACUCAACUUCCUCAGUCCCGAUAAGUCCAACUCAACUUCCUCAGUCCCGAUAAGUCCAACUCAACUUCCUCAGUCCCGAUAAGUCCAACUCAACUUCCUCAGGCCAGAUAAGUUCAACUCAACUUCCUCAGUCCAGAUAAGUCCAACUCCUAUCCUUCAGUCCAGAUAAGUCCAACUCAACUGCACCAAAUGAAAGUGAUGGGCAAGGCUACUGCAUGUAGGAUACUGAUGGAGACGUGUUUCUCUCCUUUACCCAAGACCCUUUCUGUUUUAUACCUCUCUCUGUCUGUCCUCAAGAUAACAAACAAAACCAAGGUUAGUCUUGUUUAUGUCUCCUCUCCUCCAUGUCUCAGUGUCUUACUGCAGGUCUAUAAUAUGUCUCCUCCAUGUCUCUGUGUCUUACUGCAGGUCUAUAAUAUGUCUCCUCUCCUCCAUGUCUCAGUGUCUUACUGCAGGUCUAUAAUAUGUCUCCUCCAUGUCUCUGUGUCUUACUUCAGGUCUAUAAUAUGUCUCCUCUCCUCCAUGUCUCUGUGUCUUACUGCAGGUCUAUAAUAUGUCUCCUCCAUGUCUCCGUGUCUUACUGCAGGUCUAUAAUAUGUCUCCUCUCCUCCAUGUCUCUGUGUCUUACUGCAGGUCUAUAAUAUGUCUCCUCUCCUCCAUGUCUCUGUGUCUUACUGCAGGUCUAUAAUAUGUCUCCUCCAUGUCUCAGUGUCUUACUGCAGGUCUAUAAUAUGUCUCCUCUCCUCCAUGUCUCAGUGUCUUACUGCAGGUCUAUAAUAUGUCUCCUCCAUGUCUCAGUGUCUUACUGCAGGUCUAUAAUAUGUCUCCUCCAUGUCUCAGUGUCUUACUGCAGGUCUAUAAUAUGUCUCCUCUCCUCCAUGUCUCAGUGUCUUACUGCAGGUCUAUAAUAUGUCUCCUCCAUGUCUCUGUGUCUUACUGCAGGUCUAUAAUAUGUCUCCUCCAGGUCUCAGUGUCUUACUGCAGGUCUAUAAUAUGUCUCCUCUCCUCCAUGUCUCAGUGUCUUACUGCAGGUCUAUAAUAUGUCUCCUCCAUGUCUCCGUGUCUUACUGCAGGUCUAUAAUAUGUCUCCUCCAUGUCUCUGUGUCUUACUGCAGGUCUAUAAUAUGUCUCCUCUCCUCCAUGUCUCUGUGUCUUACUGCAGGUCUAUAAUAUGUCUCCUCCAUGUCUCAGUGUCUUACUGCAGGUCUAUAAUAUGUCUCCUCCAUGUCUCAGUGUCUUACUGCAGGUCUAUAAUAUGUCUCCUCUCCUCCAGGUCUCAGUGUCUUACUGCAGGUCUAUAAUAUGUCUCCUCCAUGUCUCAGUGUCUUACUGCAGGUCUAUAAUAUGUCUCCUCUCCUCCAUGUCUCAGUGUCUUACUGCAGGUCUAUAAUAUGUCUCCUCUCCUCCAUGUCUCCGUGUCUUACUGCAGGUCUAUAAUAUCUCUCCUCCAUGUCUCUGUGUCUUACUGCAGGUCUAUAAUAUGUCUCCUCUCCUCCAUGUCUCUGUGUCUUACUGCAGGUCUAUAAUAUGUCUCCUCUCCUCCAUGUCUCUGUGUCUUACUGCAGGUCUAUAAUAUAUCUCCUCCAUGUCUCAGUGUCUUACUGCAGGUCUAUAAUAUGUCUCCUCCAUGUCUCUGUGUCUUACUGCAGGUCUAUAAUAUGUCUCCUCCAUGUCUCAGUGUCUUACUGCAGGUCUAUAAUAUGUCUCCUCCAGGUCUCAGUGUCUUACGGCAGAUCUAUAAUAUGUCUCCUCCAUGUCUCUGUGUCUUACUGCAGGUCUAUAAUAUGUCUCCUCUCCUCCAUGUCUCUGUGUCUUACUGCAGGUCUAUAAUAUGUCUCCUCCACGUCUCAGUGUCUUACUGCAGGUCUAUAAUAUGUCUCCUCUCCUCCAUGUCUCUGUGUCUUACUGCAGGUCUAUAAUAUGUCUCCUCUCCUCCAUGUCUCUGUGUCUUACUGCAGGUCUAUAAUAUGUCUCCUCCAUGUCUCAGUGUCUUACUGCAGGUCUAUAAUAUGUCUCCUCCAUGUGUCUGUGUCUUACUGCAGGUCUAUAAUAUGUCUCCUCUCCUCCAUGUCUCUGUGUCUUACUACAGGUCUAUAAUAUGUCUCCUCCAUGUCUCUGUGUCUUACUGCAGGUCUAUAAUAUGUCUCCUCUCCUCCAUGUCUCUGUGUCUUACUGCAGGUCUAUAAUAUGUUUCCUCCAUGUCUCUGUGUCUUACUGCAGGUCUAUAAUAUGUCUCCUCUCCUCCAUGUCUCAGUGUCUUACUGCAGGUCUAUAAUAUCUCUCCUCUCCUCCAUGUCUCAGUGUCUUACUGCAGGUAUAUAAUAUGUCUCCUCUCCUCCAUGUCUCUGUGUCUUACUGCAGGUCUAUAAUAUGUCUCCUCUCCUCCAUGUCUCAGUGUCUUACUGCAGGUCUAUAAUAUGUCUCCUCCAUGUCUCUGUGUCUUACUGCAGGUCUAUAAUAUGUCUCCUCUCCUCCAUGUCUCUGUGUCUUACUGCAGGUCUAUAAUAUGUCUCCUCCAUGUCUCAGUGUCUUACUGCAGGUCUAUAAUAUGUCUCCUCUCCUCCAUGUCUCUGUGUCUUACUGCAGGUCUAUAAUAUGUUUCCUCCAUGUCUCUGUGUCUUACUGCAGGUCUAUAAUAUGCCUCCUCUCCUCCAUGUCUCUGUGUCUUACUGCAGGUCUAUAAUAUGUCUCCUCCAUGUCUCCGUGUCUUACUGCAGGUCUAUAAUAUGUCUCCUCUCCUCCAUGUCUCCGUGUCUUACUGCAGGUCUAUAAUAUGUCUCCUCUCCUCCAUGUCUCAGUGUCUUACUGCAGGUCUAUAAUAUGUCUCCUCUCCUCCAUGUCUCAGUGUCUUACUGCAGGUCUAUAAUAUGUCUCCUCUCCUCCAUGUCUCUGUGUCUUACUGCAGGUCUAUAAUAUGUCUCCUCUCCUCCAUGUCUCUGUGUCUUACUGCAGGUCUAUAAUAUGUCUCCUCCAUGUCUCAGUGUCUUACUGCAGGUCUAUAAUAUGUCUCCUCCAUGUCUCUGUGUCUUACUGCAGGUCUAUAAUAUGUC
ensembl:lncRNA